GCAGAGAAUUCAAGGCGCAGCGGAAGUUUGCCUUCCACGUCUUGGGAUCCGGCUUGUCUUUGCCUGGAUGGUACCGGCCUGAAGUGAACGGGUGUAGAGACAAACGGUGCCGUGAGCAGUUUAUGUUGGAUUACCAGGGUCAGUGAUGAACCCCCUGCUCAUCUACUUAAAAGAGAGCUCCUGCACGUUCUGCUGCAUUGCGCCUGUCCCUUAAUCAGUGAUUGAAAAUUCGAUCCAAUAUUAUUCCAUCUGAAGCAUUCUCUGUGGCAUUCAAGGACAUCCCUUUUCUAUUUUUCCGAACUUGGGAUUCAUUUAGGCUUUAAUGCCCCUCCAAGGAUGAGAUCUGAGCUCAUUGACCUGGUCUGGGAAUAGGACACAGUCUCACUGCCAUCAACCCAGUGGUAAACGCAUGAUCGGGCAUGAAAGCUCUCAUAACCCCCCCCCCUUUUCUCUCUUUUUUUCUCAAUAUAUUUUUUGUGUUUAUAAAUCAUGUAAAAUCCCCUUGUUGGUAAUGUUCUGUUUCUGUUGUGUGUUGUCCGCCCCUGCUUUACCGAGUUCAACAGAAAUAUUGGUUUAAAAAAAAAAAAGCAACAUGAUUUAUGUACCCAUGAGCCAAAAUAAACACUGUGUGUGUGUGUCUGGAUUAAAAA